AACGAACGCUGGCGGCAGGCUUAACACAUGCAAGUCGAGCGCCCCGCAAGGGGAGCGGCAGACGGGUGAGUAACGCGUGGGAGUCUACCCAUCUCUACGGAAUAACGCAUGGAAACGUGUGCUAAUACCGUAUACGUCCUUCGGGAGAAAGAUUUAUCGGAGAUGGAUGAGCCCGCGUUGGAUUAGCUAGUUGGUGGGGUAAAGGCCUACCAAGGCGACGAUCCAUAGCUGGACUGAGAGGAUGAUCAGCCACACUGGGACUGAGACACGGCCCAGACUCCUACGGGAGGCAGCAGUGGGGAAUAUUGGACAAUGGGCGCAAGCCUGAUCCAGCCAUGCCGCGUGAGUGAUGAAGGCCCUAGGGUUGUAAAGCUCUUUCACCGGUGAAGAUAAUGACGGUAACCGGAGAAGAAGCCCCGGCUAACUUCGUGCCAGCCGCCGCGGUAAGAC
rnacentral:rRNA from 1 species